rnacentral:tRNA from 1 species
GGGGUUGUAGCUCAGUGGUAGAGCGCUUGCCUAGCAUGUGUGAGGCUCUGGGUUCAAUCCCCAGCACCACA